rnacentral:lncRNA from 1 species
UGUACCUCCCGCCAUUCACCUGCUGAUUUCUUGCUCAUCUGUUUAUUCCUCUGAUCCAACAAGGUCAGGAUGGUAUGCAACCGCCGCCCCCCCCCCCCGCCGCCCCCCCCCCCCGCCGCCCCCACCACCACAGCACUGCCACGACCCUUGUCUGGGACGGAUGAUGUGGGGCUGCACUUCCUCUGUCGGCCCCCUGCCCUCGUGAGGAGGCCCAGCAUGUAGCAGGCAAGCAGCAGGCAGCAGGCAGGUGCUGAGUGGGUGUGGAAGGUGUGGCCCCUCACACCUCUGUGUCCUAUGCUCAGCGCUGUGCUUGGGCAUGGCGAGGCCUCAGCAGAUACUGUGAGCACAGUGACACCAAUGGAACCCAGUAAAGAGAUAGUUUCCAAUUUUCCUCGCUGCUGGGGCCCACCCAGAUCCUGGAGCAGAGCAUGGCCUGCAGGAAGCACAGGCUGGUGGACUGUGGCUGUGUCAUGGCGAGCUUCCAGUGGCUCUCGCAGAACUCAAUUGGCACGGUAAAGGGACAAAUGAAGUUUCCAGCUUUUUUCUUUUAAUAGCUCAGAUAUCAAUUUUAUAGCUUUGAUGGACAUAAUUUAUAAAAUAAGUCUAUCUUACUGUAAAUUUGAGAUGGUUAACCUUUAAUAAAGUUAAGAAAGGGCUUGUCAAAA